CAUGAGUUAUGUCAUGUUAUCGAUAUGUGAAUACAUAGCAUAUCAGAAGGCACACCCGGAGAACUGAAACAUCUUAGUACCCGGAGGAAGAGAAAGAAAAUUCGAUUCCCUUAGUAGCGGCGAGCGAAACGGGAAGAGCCCAAACCAACAAGCUUGCUUGUUGGGGUUGUAGGACACUCUAUACGGAGUUACAAAGGACGACAUUAGACGAAUCAUCUGGAAAGAUGAAUCAAAGAAGGUAAUAAUCCUGUAGUCGAAAAUGUUGUCUCUCUUGAGUGGAUCCUGAGUACGACGGAGCACGUGAAAUUCCGUCGGAAUCUGGGAGGACCAUCUCCUAAGGCUAAAUACUCUCUAGUGACCGAUAGUGAACCAGUACCGUGAGGGAAAGGUGAAAAGCACCCCGGAAGGGGAGUGAAAUAGAACCUGAAACCGUGUGCUUACAAGUAGUCAGAGCCCGUUAAUGGGUGAUGGCGUGCCUUUUGUAGAAUGAACCGGCGAGUUACGAUUUGAUGCAAGGUUAAGCAGUAAAUGUGGAGCCGUAGCGAAAGCGAGUCUGAAUAGGGCGUUUAGUAUUUGGUCGUAGACCCGAAACCAGGUGAUCUACCCUUGGUCAGGUUGAAGUUCAGGUAACACUGAAUGGAGGACCGAACCGACUUACGUUGAAAAGUGAGCGGAUGAACUGAGGGUAGCGGAGAAAUUCCAAUCGAACCUGGAGAUAGCUGGUUCUCUCCGAAAUAGCUUUAGGGCUAGCCUCAAGUGAUGAUUAUUGGAGGUAGAGCACUGUUUGGACGAGGGGCCCCUCUCGGGUUACCGAAUUCAGACAAACUCCGAAUGCCAAUUAAUUUAACUUGGGAGUCAGAACAUGGGUGAUAAGGUCCGUGUUCGAAAGGGAAACAGCCCAGACCACCAGCUAAGGUCCCAAAAUAUAUGUUAAGUGGAAAAGGAUGUGGCGUUGCCCAGACAACUAGGAUGUUGGCUUAGAAGCAGCCAUCAUUUAAAGAGUGCGUAAUAGCUCACUAGUCGAGUGACACUGCGCCGAAAAUGUACCGGGGCUAAACAUAUUACCGAAGCUGUGGAUUGUCCUUUGGACAAUGGUAGGAGAGCGUUCUAAGGGCGUUGAAGCAUGAUCGUAAGGACAUGUGGAGCGCUUAGAAGUGAGAAUGCCGGUGUGAGUAGCGAAAGACGGGUGAGAAUCCCGUCCACCGAUUGACUAAGGUUUCCAGAGGAAGGCUCGUCCGCUCUGGGUUAGUCGGGUCCUAAGCUGAGGCCGACAGGCGUAGGCGAUGGAUAACAGGUUGAUAUUCCUGUACCACCUAUAAUCGUUUUAAUCGAUGGGGGGACGCAGUAGGAUAGGCGAAGCGUGCGAUUGGAUUGCACGUCUAAGCAGUAAGGCUGAGUAUUAGG
rnacentral:rRNA from 1 species